UACGGGGGGGGGCAAGCGUUGUUCGGAAUUACUGGGCGUAAAGCGUGCGCAGGCGGUUAUGUAAGACAGGUGUGAAAUCCCCGGGCUUAACCUGGGGAACUGCAUUUGUGACUGCAUAGCUAGAGUACGGUAGAGGGGGAUGGAAUUCCGCGUGUAGCAGUGAAAUGCGUAGAUAUGCGGAGGAACACCGAUGGCGAAGGCAAUCCCCUGGGCCUGCACUGACGCUCAUGCACGAAAGCGUGGGGAGCAAACAGG
rnacentral:rRNA from 1 species